UAGAGUUUGAUCCUGGCUCAGAAUCAACGCUGGCGGCGUGCCUAACACAUGCAAGUCGAGCGAGAAAGGGGCUUCGGCCCUGAGUAAAGCGGCGCACGGGUGAGUAACACGUGGGUAAUCUGCCCUAGAGUGGGGAAUAACACCGGGAAACUGGUGCUAAUACCGCAUACGAUCAUGGAGUCUUCGGAUUUUGUGAUGAAAGGAGCAAUUCGCUCUUGGAGGAGCCCGCGGCUGAUUAGCUAGUUGGUAAGGUAAUGGCUUACCAAGGCAACGAUCAGUAGCCGGUCUGAGAGGACGGUCGGCCACACUGGAACUGAGACACGGUCCAGACUCCUACGGGAGGCAGCAGUGGGGAAUUUUUCGCAAUGGGGGAAACCCUGACGAAGCAACGCCGCGUGGAGGAUGAAGGCCUUCGGGUCGUAAACUCCUGUCGACCGGGAAGAAUGCACCUGACCUAAUACGUCGGUGUGUUGACUGUACCGGUGGAGGAAGCCACGGCUAACUCUGUGCCAGCAGCCCCGGUCAA
rnacentral:rRNA from 1 species